rnacentral:rRNA from 1 species
AUUGAACGCUGGCGGCAUGCUUUACACAUGCAAGUCGAACGGUAACAGGCCGCAAGGUGCUGACGAGUGGCGAACGGGUGAGUAAUGCAUCGGAACGUGCCCAGUCGUGGGGGAUAACGCAGCGAAAGCUGUGCUAAUACCGCAUACGAUCUAUGGAUGAAAGCGGGGGACCGUAAGGCCUCGCGCGAUUGGAGCGGCCGAUGUCAGAUUAGGUAGUUGGUGGGGUAAAGGCUCACCAAGCCAACGAUCUGUAGCUGGUCCGAGAGGACGACCAGCCACACUGGGGCUGAGACACGGCCCAGACUCCUACGGGAGGCAGCAGUGGGGAAUUUUGGACAAUGGGCGCAAGCCUGAUCCAGCAAUGCCGCGUGCAGGAAGAAGGCCUUCGGGUUGUAAACUGCUUUUGUACGGAACGAAACGGCGAGCUCUAAUACAGUUUGCUAAUGACGGUACCGUAAGAAUAAGCACCGGCUAACUACGUGCCAGCCGCCGCAGUAA